rnacentral:rRNA from 1 species
CCUACGGGUGGCAGCAGUGAGGAAUCUUGGUCACUGGGCGGAAGCCUGAACCAGCCACGUAGCGUGCAGGAUGACGGCCCUACGGGUUGUACACUGCUUUUAUACGGGAAUAACGCGCCUUACGUGUAGGGCUUUGCAUGUACCGUCUGAAUAAGGACCGGCUAAUUACGUGCCAGCAGCCGCGGUAAUACGGAGGGUCCGGGAGUUAUCCGGAUUUAUUGGGUUUACAGGGAGCGUAGGCCGCAUGUCAAGCGUGCUGUGAACUGUCCGGGCUCAACCCGGGCCUUGCCGCGCGAACUGGCGUGCUUGAGUCCGCGGAAAGCAGGCGGAAUGCGUCGGGGAGCGGUGAAAGGCUUAGAUAGGACGAAGAACCCCGAUUGCGAAGGCAGCUUGCUGCAGCGGAACUGACGCUGAUGCUCGAAAGCGCGGGUAUCGAACAGGAUUAGAUACCCCUGGUAGUC